rnacentral:rRNA from 1 species
CCUACGGGAGGCAGCAGUGAGGAAUAUUGGUCAAUGGGCGCAAGCCUGAACCAGCCAAGUAGCGUGAAGGAUGACUGCCCUACGGGUUGUAAACUUCUUUUAUAAAGGAAUAAAGUGAGGCACGUGUGCCUUUUUGUAUGUACUUUAUGAAUAAGGAUCGGCUAACUCCGUGCCAGCAGCCGCGGUAAUACGGAGGAUCCGAGCGUUAUCCGGAUUUAUUGGGUUUAAAGGGAGCGUAGACGGGUUGUUAAGUUAGUUGUGAAAGUUUGGGGCUCAACCCUAAAAUUGCAAUUGAUACUGGCAGUCUUGAGUGCAGUUGAGGUAGGCGGAAUUCGUGGUGUAGCGGUGAAAUGCUUAGAGAUCACGAAGAACUCCGAUUGCGAAGGCAGCUUACUAAACUGCCACUGACAUUGAUGCUCGAAAGUGUGGGUAGCAAACAGGAUUAGAUACCCGAGUAGUC